rnacentral:rRNA from 1 species
UAAAGGUAUUCCGGUAGACGAUGGGGAUGCGUUCCAUUAGAUAGUAGGCGGGGUAACGGCCCACCUAGUCUUCGAUGGAUAGGGGUUCUGAGAGGAAGGUCCCCCACAUUGGAACUGAGACACGGUCCAAACUCCUACGGGAGGCAGCAGUGAGGAAUAUUGGUCAAUGGGCGAGAGCCUGAACCAGCCAAGUAGCGUGAAGGAUGACUGCCCUAUGGGUUGUAAACUUCUUUUAUAAAGGAAUAAAGUCGGGUAUGGAUACCCGUUUGCAUGUACUUUAUGAAUAAGGAUCGGCUAACUCCGUGCCAGCAGCCGCGGUAAUACGGAGGAUCCGAGCGUUAUCCGGAUUUAUUGGGUUUAAAGGGAGCGUAGAUGGAUAUUUAAGUCAGUUGUGAAAGUUUGCGGCUCAACCGUAAAAUUGCAGUUGAUACUGGAUAUCUUGAGUGCAGUUGAGGCAGGCGGAAUUCGUGGUGUAGCGGUGAAAUGCUUAGAUAUCAUGAAGAACUCCGAUUGCGAAGGCAGCCUGCUAAGCUGCAACUGACAUUGAGGCUCGAAAGUGUGGGUAUCAAACAGGAUUAGAUACCCUGGUAGUCCACACGGUAAACGAUGAAUACUCGCUGUUUGCGAUAUACUGCAA